UUUCUGAUAGUUCAGUUGGUAAAGUAUCCGCCUGCAAUGCAGGAGACCCUGGUUCAAUUUCUGGGUCAGGAAG
rfam:Ovis aries breed Texel chromosome 6, whole genome shotgun sequence.